CCUACGGGUGGCAGCAGUGGGGAAUAUUGGGCAAUGGAGGCAACUCUGACCCAGCAACGCCGCGUGAAUGAUGAAGGUCUUCGGAUUGUAAAGUUCUGUGAUGGGGGAUGAACACAAUGACGGUACCCCAAUAGCAAGCCACGGCUAACUACGUGCCAGCAGCCGCGGUAAUACGUAGGUGGCAAGCGUUAUCCGGGAUGACUGGGCGGAAAGGGUGCGUAGGGGGUUUAGUAAGUUGUCGGUGUAAUUCCGGGACUCAACCUCGGCGCUACCGCCAAAACUAUUGGACUAGAGUGCAGGAGGGGUAGGUGGAAUGCGUGGUGGAGCGGGGAAAUGCGUAGAUAUUAGGAGGAA
rnacentral:rRNA from 1 species